UACGUAGGUGGCAAGCGUUGUCCGGAUUUAUUGGGUUUAAAGGGUGCGUAGGCGGUCGCUUAAGUCAGUGGUGAAAUCCUAUAGCUCAACUAUAGAUGUGCCAUUGAUACUGAUUGACUUGAGUGAAGUCGAAGUAGGCGGAAUUGACGGUGUAGCGGUGAAAUGCUUAGAUAUCGUCAAGAACACCGAUAGUGAAGACAGCUUACUAGGCUUAUACUGACGCUGAGGCACGAAAGUGUGGGGAUCAAACAGG
rnacentral:rRNA from 1 species